UGUGACACGGACCUAUAAAGAGAAUCCACCUAGCCGUAGUGCUAAACAGACUCAUGAUGAUGGCAGUGCCCAGCGAGAAGACAAGAAAAUCCCAAGAAACAAGGCUUGUCCAUGUGGUUCAAAAAAGAAAUACAAGUCCUGUUGCGGGUCAGGGACAGGAAAGUCUCUGCAAUUUCCAAUGAUCAAGCUAUUGAAUCCAGAAAAAAGUUGAAAGGAAAAGAAGCGAGGCAAGAGAAGGUCUGACACAUCUGCACUUUCUACUGGAUCUGACGGAGGGCCACCUGAUAUGGGGCCUCCUCGUAUCUGGUCUUUUGCCUUUGUACGUGCACCAUCAUCUAUUGAAUUUCAGAUAUCAGUAUGUGUGCAGUCCUUCAAAUAUUAGAUUAGAU